GACGAACGCUGGCGGCGCGCUUAACACAUGCAAGUCGAGCGAGAACCAGGGCUUCGGCCCUGGGGACAGCGGCGAACGGGUGAGUAACACGUGGGUAAUCCACCCUCGGCACCGGAAUAGCCCGGGGAAACCCGGAUUAAUGCCGGAUGGCCCCGUCGACCCUUCGGGGCUGACGGAAAAGGUAGCUUUGGCCUCCGGCCGGGGACGAGCCCGCGGCGGAUUAGCUUGUUGGUGGGGUAACGGCCUACCAAGGCUCCGAUCCGUAGCUGGUCUGAGAGGACGAUCAGCCACACUGGGACUGAGACACGGCCCAGACUCCUACGGGAGGCAGCAGUGGGGAAUCUUGCGCAAUGGGCGAAAGCCUGACGCAGCGACGCCGCGUGGGGGAAGAAG
rnacentral:rRNA from 1 species